GAUUUUCAUAGGGUCAUGUGCAAUUGGAAUGGGACCAGUUCCUUGGGUUAUGAAGCCUGAGAUAUUCCCAUAAAUGUGAAGGGAGUUGCCGGAAGUUAUGUCACUCUUGUGUGCUGGGUUGGUGCUUGGGCUGUUUCUUACACUUCCAAUUUUUUUCAUGAACUGGAGCUUUUCAGGUACAUUUUUUUUUCUAUGCUGGAGUUUCUGCAAUAACCGUUCUGUUUGUGACAAAGUUUGUACCAGAAACCAAGGGAAGAACUUUGGAAGAAAUUCAAGCAUCCAUUAACUUUUAACUGAGGGGG